rnacentral:rRNA from 1 species
CCUAAGGUAGCGAAAUUCCUUGUCGGGUAAGUUCCGACCUGCACGAAUGGCGUAAUGAUGGCCAGGCUGUCUCCACCCGAGACUCAGUGAAAUUGAACUCGCUGUGAAGAUGCAGUGUACCCGCGGCAAGACGGAAAGACCCCGUGAACCUUUACUAUAGCUUGACACUGAACAUUGAGCCUUGAUGUGUAGGAUAGGUGGGAGGCUUUGAAGUGUGGACGCCAGUCUGCAUGGAGCCGACCUUGAAAUACCACCCUUUAAUGUUUGAUGUUCUAACGUGGGCCCCUUACCGGGGUUGCGGACAGUGUCUGGUGGGUAGUUUGACUGGGGCGGUCUCCUCCUAAAGAGUAACGGAGGAGCACGAAGGUUGGCUAAUCCUGGUCGGACAUCAGGAGGUUAGUGCAAUGGCAUAAGCCAGCUUGACUGCGAGCGUGACGGCGCGAGCAGGUGCGAAAGCAGGUCAUAGUGAUCCGGUGGUUCUGAAUGGAAGGGCCAUCGCUCAACGGAUAAAAGGUACUCCGGGGAUAACAGGCUGAUACCGCCCAAGAGUUCAUAUCGACGGCGGUGUUUGGCACCUCGAUGUCGGCUCAUCACAUCCUGGGGCUGAAGUAGGUCCCAAGGGUAUGGCUGUUCGCCAUUUAAAGUGGUACGCGAGCUGGGUUUAGAACGUCGUGAGACAGUUCGGUCCCUAUCUGCCGUGGGCGCUGGAGAACUGAGGGGGGCUGCUCCUAGUACGAGAGGACCGGAGUGGACGCAUCACUGGUGUUCGGGUUGUCAUGCCAAUGGCACUGCCCGGUAGCUAAAUGCGGAAGAGAUAAGUGCUGAAAGCAUCUAAGCACGAAACUUGCCCCGAGAUGAGUUCUCCCUGACUCCUUGAGAGUCCUGAAGGAACGUUGAAGACGACGACGUUGAUAGGCCGGGUGUGUAAGCGCAGCGAUGCGUUGAGCUAACCGGUACUAAUGAACCGUGAGGCUUAACCUU